rnacentral:rRNA from 1 species
GAUGAACGCUGGCGGCGUGCCUAAUACAUGCAAGUCGAGCGAACGGACGAGAAGCUUGCUUCUCUGAUGUUAGCGGCGGACGGGUGAGUAACACGUGGAUAACCUACCUAUAAGACUGGGAUAACUUCGGGAAACCGGAGCUAAUACCGGAUAAUAUUUUGAACCGCAUGGUUCAAAAGUGAAAGACGGUCUUGCUGUCACUUAUAGAUGGAUCCGCGCUGCAUUAGCUAGUUGGUAAGGUAACGGCUUACCAAGGCAACGAUGCAUAGCCGACCUGAGAGGGUGAUCGGCCACACUGGAACUGAGACACGGUCCAGACUCCUACGGGAGGCAGCAGUAGGGAAUCUUCCGCAAUGGGCGAAAGCCUGACGGAGCAACGCCGCGUGAGUGAUGAAGGUCUUCGGAUCGUAAAACUCUGUUAUUAGGGAAGAACAUAUGUGUAAGUAACUGCGCACAUCUUGACGGUACCGAAUCAGAAAGCCACGGCGAACUACGU